AGCUAAUAAAGGAUAGUUUUAAGCAACUAAGUUAAGUUUAGGGGCAGUUUGUUACACAGCAGUAGACAGCUGAUACAAUCUUGAUCUUUUCUCUCUGACUUACUUUUCUGCAUCUCUUAAGCAUAUCUUGAGGUGCCAGGCACUCAGGGGAGAGUUAUGAACUAGAGCGACAAAUUCUGUGACCCCACGGAACGGCAUUCAGUGGAGGGGGAGAGGCAAACUACAUGUGCACAAACCCGACCGGUUCAAAUCGGGAGAGAUGUGGUGAAGACAAUAAAAUACACUGAUGUUUUA